CUAAACGUGCUGCUUAUGCUCUCCGUGCCCCCAAACGUAGACAGACUGGGAGACAAUGUGUUUGUUUUUGUCUUGAAUGCCAGUAGGUACCGACAGAGAGAGGAGCACAGAGCAGAACAGCCGCAGACACACUGACCACCAGCACCCAGCUCUGGAUCAUCCCUGCUGUAGAACCGCUGGGGGUCGUUAUGGACCCAUUGGAACCGUCUAUAUCAGGGACAGUGGGACAUUUUCAUGGUCAUAUUCGCUGUGCUGUUGCUCACAGAGACGCAUUUAAAGUAUUUGACUGCAAUUCUGCUCCUUUCCUGUAGAUGGCAGCCAAAGGCAAAACUUCUGCAAUUAAUGAUGACGUUCGUUCGGGAUGAGUCACUCUGUUUCAUUUCCUCAUUUUCAUUUUUAUCAUUUUGUUUCAGCAAAUAUUGCACAGAUUAAGGCCGACAUCUCAAUGUAUUGUUAAUAUUGUUCUGGAGUAAAUCAAAUGUUUAUUAAUAAACACGUCCUUAAAUUUA